UGCCAGCAGCCGCGGUAACACCAGCGCCACGAGUGGCAAUCGUGUAUUUGGCCUAAAGCGUCCGUAGCCGGCGCUGUACAUCUUUUGUGAAAUCGUUGCGCUUAACGUAACGGCGUGCAGGAGACACGGCAGUGCUUGAGACCGGGAGGGGAGCGUGGAAUUCCUGGUGUAGCGGUGAAAUGCGUAGAUAUCAGGAGGAACACCUGUGGCGAAGGCGACGCUCUGGCCCGUAACUGACGCUCAUGCACGAAAGCCAGGGGAGCGAACGGGAUUAGAUA
rnacentral:rRNA from 1 species